rfam:Pseudomonas fluorescens SBW25 complete genome
UGCCGGGAGUGGGCUAAUACAAGACCCGAAAGGGGAAUAUGUCCGGCCCUCUGUGUGGGGUUUCUUAACUCCCGGCACCCAGCCC